rnacentral:rRNA from 1 species
UACGUAGGGCGCGAGCGUUGUCCGGAAUCAUUGGGCGUAAAGAGCGUGUAGGCGGCUCGGUAAGUCCGCUGUGAAAGUCCAGGGCUCAACCCUGGAAUGCCGGUGGAAACUGUCGAGCUAGAGUCCGGAAGAGGCGAGUGGAAUUCCUGGUGUAGCGGUGAAAUGCGCAGAUAUCGGGAGGAACACCUAUGGCGAAGGCAGCUCGCUGGGACGUUACUGACGCUGAGACGCGAAAGCGUGGGGAGCAAACAGG